ACUGCACAUUGUUAGAGCUGAGAGUAGAGGCCGCUGGUGGUGAGGAACUCAUGAGUGGAGGCAGUGUGCUAUAUAAGGGGAAGUUUUUGCUAACAUUGCAAGGGGCUCUGGCCCAGCCACUGGAGUUUGAUAGUAAUCCUUGCUACAAAU